UGAUGAAGAUAUUGAUUUUGAAGAAAAUAUUAAAAGGAUGAAGGUAUAUAAGAAGAUGAAGAAGAUUAUGAUGUUACUAUUGAUGUAGAUUAAAGAAUAGUUAUUUUAUAGUUACUUAACUUUAGUUUUGAGACACUAAAAGACUAUUUCAAGUGUCAUUGUCUUAUUAGUGACUUAAACCUUUAGUGGUUGUCAUUUUCUAUAUGUUAGUGUCUUAAAAUUCUAGUGGUUACCCUUUUUUAUUGCAAUUUGCAAAAUUACAAAUUACUUGAGUGCUUUUUAGUUAUUAUUAUGUUUAGUUUCAUGUUACUUGAAGUUUGAUAGAUUAUUUAUGUUUAUUUUAUUUUUAAUGGAAUUUUUUCUUUUGCGCCUCCUCGUUCAGGCGCGCACCUGCACCUAGCGCCUAGGCUCCAGGACCCCUUCGCACCUUGAGCCUUUAAUAACUAU
rnacentral:misc_RNA from 1 species